UAACAAUAUAUGGGAAAAUAAAACAGGAACAUGAGAAGGCUAAGGAGGUAAUCUGAUGAAUGAGGCCUGGUGUCUCACUGUCUGGACCCUAUGGUUUGGUGAGUUU